rnacentral:rRNA from 1 species
GACGAACGCUGGCGGCGUGCUUAACACAUGCAAGUCGAACGGAAAGGCCCUGCUUUUGUGGGGUGCUCGAGUGGCGAACGGGUGAGUAACACGUGAGUAACCUGCCCUUGACUUUGGGAUAACUUCAGGAAACUGGGGCUAAUACCGGAUAGGAGCUCCUGCUGCAUGGUGGGGGUUGGAAAGUUUCGGCGGUUGGGGAUGGACUCGCGGCUUAUCAGCUUGUGGGUGGGGUAGUGGCUUACCAAGGCUUUGACGGGUAGCCGGCCUGAGAGGGUGACCGGCCACAUGGGGACUGAGAUACGGCCCAGACUCCUACGGGAGGCAGCAGGGGGGAAUAUUGCACAAUGGGCGGAAGCCUGAUGCAGCAACGCCGCGUGCGGGAUGACGGCCUUCGGGUUGUAAACCGCUUUCGCCUGUGACGAAGCGUGAGUGACGGUAAUGGGUAAAGAAGCACCGGCUAACUACGUG